rnacentral:tRNA from 1 species
GGAAGGGUGUCCGAGUGGUUUAUGGAUGCAGUCUUGAAAACUGCCGUAGCCGAAAGGUUACCGUGGGUUCGAAUCCCACCCCUUCCG